rnacentral:tRNA from 1 species
GCUGAUGUAGCUCAAUUGGCAGAGCGUCUGUCUUUUAAACAGGGGGUUACGGGUUCAAUUCCCGUCAUCAGCA